GAUGAACGCUGGCGGCGUGCUUAAUACAUGCAAGUCGAGCGAAAGGACGAGUAGCUUGGUUCUCUGGUGUUAGAGGCGGACGGGAGAGUAACACGUGGAUCAACUAGCUAUAAGAAAGGGAUAAAAACGGGAACUAAGAGCUAAUACCGGAUAAUAUUUUGAACCGCGUGGUUCAAAAGUGAAUGUCGGUUUUGCUGUCACUUAUAGCUGGUUCCGGGUUGCAUUAGCUAGUUGGUAAGGUAACGGCCUACCAAGGCAACGAUGCAUAGCCGACCUGAGAGGAUGAUCAGCCACACUGGAACUGAGACACGGCCCAGACUCCUACGGGAGGCAGCAGUAGGGAAUCUUCCACAAUGGGCGAAAGCCUGACGCAGCAACGCCGCGUGAGUGAUGAAGGCCUUCGGGUCGUAAAACUCUUUUGGCAGGAAAGAACAUAUGUCCGUGUAUCCGUGCACAUCAUGACGGUACCUAAACAGUAAGCCACGGCUAACUACGUG
rnacentral:rRNA from 1 species